GUCCACCUGUGGCCUAGUGGGUAAGGUUACAGUCUUGGGAACAUGGGGUCGUAGGUUCAAGCCCAGCUAGAGACG
rnacentral:tRNA from 1 species